rnacentral:rRNA from 1 species
GUCUAUAGCCAUACCACUGUGAAUGUGCCUGAUCUUGGAAGCUAAGUAGGGUCUGGCCUGUUUAAUGUUUGGAUGGGAGACUGACUGGGAAUGUGGGUGCUUUAAGCU